rnacentral:lncRNA from 1 species
AUAAAAUUGAAGGGCGAUUGGGUGUUAAAUCUCAAGAACUUAUAUACUCUUAAGAUAUUCUUAAAUGUUAUUGUUUUCAGACAUGAGGAAAUCUGUCGGUUCUGUGUAUACACACACAUACACACACAUAUCCAUACAAACAUAUAUAUAUGUAUGUGUGUGGAUGACAUGUGUGUGUACAUGUAUGUAUAUCCCAUUUUGAUGUCCUUUUUAAAUUUCUUUACCUGAAGAUAUCCUACAUACCUCAAGACUAAACCGAAAUAUCUUUGUCCCUGGAAGGCCUCUACAGGUCUCUGAUGAAAUAAAUCACUCAUUUCUCAAUGCUCUCCAAGCACUUUGUCUAUUUACUCCCAUUGCCUUUUCCUUUGGUAGACUCUAAUCUUUGGAUUCUUAAUGCCCAACAUACUGAAAAAAAAAUAUUGAAAAAAGUGUUCACUAAUCAUUUGGCUGAAUGAGGAGGGAGGCUAGGCUUAAUCAUUCAUGUGGUCUUAAGUUUUAGCUUGUAUAAAGGAGAAGCCAGUUUACAAUGAACUUAGAGGGCCAGAUGCAGUGGCUCACACUUAUAGUCCCAGCAC